GGAGUUGAUUACUCUGACACUUUUGCUCCUGUUGCUAGGCUUGAUACAAUCAGAUUAUUACUUGCCAUUGCAGUACAGAAAGGAUGGCAAGUGUUCCAAAUGGAUGUCAAGUCAGCCUUUCUCAAUGGAUUUCUGCAGGAGGAGAUCUAUGUUGAACAACCAGAAGGCUUUGUAAUCAAAGGGCAGGAAGACAAAGUCUAUUUACUAAAAAAGGCUCUCUAUGGUCUAAAGCAGGCACCAAGAGUGUGGUACAGCAGAAUUGAUGAUCAUCUACUGACUUUAGGCUUUCUAAAAAGCCUAUCAGAAUCAACACUUUACAUCAAGUACUCUGGAGCAGAAAUUUUAAUUAUUUCUUUAUAUGUUGAUGAUCUUUUGGUGACAGGAAGCAAUGCUGCACUUAUUGAAGAUUUUAAGCAGGAAAUGAUGAAUGUCUUUGAGAUGACAGAUCUUGGUCUUAUGUCUUAUUUCCUUGGAAUGGAAAUCAUUCAAAGGAAGCAUGAAAUUUUUAUUUGUCAAAAGAAGUAUGCAAGGGAAAUUCUCAAAAAGUUUCAACUUGAUGACUGCAAAGCAAUGAGCACUCCUAUGAAUCAAA
rnacentral:misc_RNA from 1 species